CUGGACCCGGGCGGCCGCGGAGGACGUGGGUGGGAGAGGGCCGAGGGCGCGCCCGGCUGGGCUCCCGCCGAUGCCGGCCCCCUGGUGGCCUCUGGCCCUCUGGGACCCAGCGCACCGCGAGGGAGGCUCCGGGCUCCGCACUCAAGGGCAAGCGGAAGCCGAGGUGGCGGCGCCGGAGCCAGGCAUGUCCCGCUGCCCAGCGCGGGGCUGAGGGCGCAGACGGGGACCGCGCGAGCCGCUCUCUACCUGGCCUCCUCGGAGUCCAGGGCGCGGAGGGUACUGGGCUGCGGAUCCGGCGCAGGCGGCCCCGGACGCUGCUAGGCGCGGGCGGAUUUCUGUUGCACAAAUGGGCCAAACAGGUUCGUAAGGCCCCCGCGGGUCCCCUGGCCCGGAAGUUGAGCCGCGGGUGCCUGGUCUGAAGUUCCGCGCCCCACAGUGGCCCGCGGGCCUCGGCGGCUCCUGCCCUACGCCCUCCAAGGCACCAGGCAGGUGGCCCCAGGGCCUUUGCCCACGACACCCCCUGGGUGGGGCAGGACCACCCCUCUGUGAAUUCGUCCUGGAUGCCCCCAGGCACAGUCUGUACUCCUCCCUCCCCCAGCACACGCGGCCUCUGACGCUGCACGCCGAGCUUCCUGGGACCCAGGACGAACCGGGCUCCAAGGACCCUCGCUCCGCCCGGACCACACGCAGGCAGCGCCGGCCGAGCCGAGCCUGGGUCCGCACUGGCCACGCGCAGCCACCGCCAGACGGCGCUAGCCCUCCCCCGCUGUAGACCCUGCUUCGGAGGCCGCCAGCCUCCUCCCCAUCCCGGGUCCACAGCUUCAGUGCAGCCCCUGGCGACGCGCGCUGACAGCUGGGCAGAGACUUCCGUGCGCUGUAAACCCCUUAGGUCGCUAAACCCAGGAAACCCAAGCACAGCUAAUGCCAGCGCGAGACCAGUGUUGUUAGAGGCAUUUGAAGGGUCUUUCUGGAUGCAAAAGGCAGCAUUAUGAUCCAUGCAUUUAAGAACUUGCAUGAAAAACCCUCCCUGACCUGGGUGGGAGAGCAGGCACCCACCCACCCAGCGGCACUGACACGCCUGGUACUCCAAACCCGUGUUCGCAUCACCUCCCACCUGUCCACUGCCAACCUCCUGAGAUGGCCUAAAGCACCCGAGUGCUUUUAAUUUGCGUCUAGGGUUGUUUCCUCAUUAUCCUGAUUUGCUUAAUUUCCUCUUGGCCUGGCCUGAUUUCUUUUAGAUCUGGGCAUAUGCUGAUUUACAUAGCUGGCGCCUCCAUAUUUUCCUCCACGAAAACCAGUUUUCAAUUAGCAAGUUUAUCUCUCUCUUUGAUGCAAAAGUACUGGCAUUUUUUUUAUUCACCUAAAAUCAGAAAGCUCUGCACAUUAGAAGGCUGUUACUAUUCACUUACACCCUUAAUUUAUGUGCAUAUAUUAGUAUGUGCACAUGUGUUAUAAAUGUGUUAGUUUAAUGGUCAGAGCCAGAUCAGGAUAUUGGGGAGGCGUCUCCAGGCAGGCUCACAUGCCCCUGCCACCCCCCACCUCCCCCACCGCAUAGUCCCUUUUGCACAGGAGAUUCUCCUUCCUUCUGCUUGGAGGCAGAGACAGAAGGCCAGGGGUGCUCGUGCCUGGCUUGCAUGCUGUUCUCUGCAAAAGCAGGGUUUUGCGUGUGUGGCCCCCAGGUUCCUGGGAAGGUAGGGUUGGCCACAGUCUGUGGGAGCUGUAGCACUCCUUUGGGGAAUCCCAGCCCCAUCCCCACUGUCCUAGAAAGGGUUCUGCUGAAGUCCGUUUUUGCCAGCACCCCUCCGGGCUUCCUGAUGCUCUGAGCUCAGGACCCCUUGAGCCACUACUUGGCUCUGAAGAAGAGCUGGAAAGUCGAAAGCAGCUCUUGACUCAACCACAAAGCGGCCUAAACUCUUGCUAUUUCCUGCCACAAGCUUGACUCUCCUUUUGUAUGACAAUGCUUGGGAGCCCUUUUCUGUACCAUUCUGUGUGCUAAAUUAUGGGAAAACAGCCCUCAACGACGCAGGCACGGCCAUUUCCACUAAUCGUUGCUAGGGCCAAGGACCCAGCACAGGGCUUCUCCCCCUCCUCCUGGCUCUCAUUUCUGUCAGAUUCUUUUCAAGGUUUGCCUCUCAUCCCGUUUAACCCGGGAACCUUCUACACCCUCAUGGAUAGGAGAAGCCCCCUCAUAGAUACACUCAUUUCAAUGAUUGUUUAGAAGGACCGCCUCCAUGAACCGGUUCUGCAAAUGUCAUUUGUACAUCUUGAGGAUGGUUGAAAGAGCGAAGGCAAAGAAGAUGCAAAGAAGACAGCUGUCACACAAACAAGCAGGAUGCCACCUUCUUCCUGGGGACCAGAAGCCAGGAAAAAAUCAUGGGGAAGGUUUCAGAGACAUCAGUGGAAUAAGAUUUUGAAGCCCAUAGAAUAUUUUUUUCUUUUUGGAAGUUAUUUUAUUUUGUUUUUCUAAGUAAAACCUAAUAGAAUCCCAAAAUGGGAGAGAUGAAAACAUUUCCUUCCAGCCCUGCAGAGUUAAAGUAAACAGCAGGGAAACAGGAGGGAGGUCUAGGCCCUGCAUAUCACCUCGGAGGUUCCCUGCACCACCCACCGCCCACGCUGCCAGAACUUCUUUCCAAAGCAAUUGCCAAUCAGACCAACUCCUUUCUGAACACUCGCCAGCUGCGCGAUGAUGAGGCCCUGAAUGAAAGCCGUGCCAGCGAGGACCCAGAGAAGGAAUCAGCAGUGUGACACCUGACUCAGUGCAGGGUGAGGAGCAGGAGGGUGUGAGAGUGGCUCCCCCUGUUCUGUGAGACUGGGGAGAGCCUGGAAAGUCUGUGCUCAGAGAUGAGGAGCCCUCUGGGAUGCACCAUGGGCCAAGAGGUUGGCGAAGACGUGCUGACCUGGAGGGCUCCAAGGUCACCUGGAAAGACUUAUCCUCUUCACAAUUGAAAACUUCAGCCAGGAGUUCAGGAGCAAGGUCUUGGAUGGAGCCACAGAACUGAAAUUAACACAAAAAUCGAGAGUGGCAGCUGUCCGUAGUGAUUGUGAUCAAAGAUGUGGGUGGGAUCGCCCAAGGCAAGCACAGAGUGGGAAGAGGAGAGGCCACUCAUGGAAUCAAGUGACGGGAAGUGAGGCUCCCAGCGAAAGACAGAGCGAGGUACACUGGGCCCACAGGCCGCCUGGGCAGCCAGGAGCAUGCUUGUCUGAUAAAGGCUGUUAUUACUGUUAUUUUUGUUAUCAGUGUGUUACUGUAGCAUAUCUGGAAAAUACUGCGGAGCAUUAUGAGUCAGAACCCCUCAGGGAGAAGCAGUGCUAACCUUUCGGUGACCUCUGUACAAUCAUUUUUUCUCCUCACUUCUCUCUCUCUCUAACGUGUAUACGUGUGUAUGUGUGUGUGUGUGUGUGUGUAGUAUGAAUAAUAUAUUGCAUCUUGUAAUACAGUAUUACAUUUUAUAUUAAAUUGCAUUUUCUAAUAAAUAGCUUUAAUGCAGCCUGUACUAUAUGUAACCUUAAAUCUUAUUUUUCACCCAGUAUCGCAACAUAAGCAUUUCCCCACAUUAUUUAAAAAUCUUAGAAGAACCCACUUAUCAAUAGCAGAGCAAAUACCCCAUGGAGGACAGAUGGAGGUUCAGGUCGGGGCACCCUGUCGUGUGAAUUUGCAUCCACUGUGCUGACUUUCUGCAACUGUCGAAGGACCACACGUGUGAAAAGAGCCACCCAGAAGCUG
rnacentral:lncRNA from 10 species